rnacentral:rRNA from 1 species
GAUGAACGCUGGCGGCGUGCCUAAUACAUGCAAGUCGAGCGAACGGACGAGAAGCUUGCUUCUCUGAUGUUAGCGGCGGACGGGUGAGUAACACGUGGAUAACCUACCUAUAAGACUGGGAUAACUUCGGGAAACCGUAGCUAAUACCGGAUAAUAUUUUGAACCGCAUGGUUCAAAAGUGAAAGACGGUCUUGCUGUCACUUAUAGAUGGAUCCGCGCUGCAUUAGCUAGUUGGUAAGGUAACGGCUUACCAAGGCAACGAUGCAUAGCCGACCUGAGAGGGUGAUCGGCCACACUGGAACUGAGACACGGUCCAGACUCCUACGGGAGGCAGCAGUAGGGAAUCUUCCGAAAUGGGCGAAAGCCUGACGGAGCAACGCCGCGGGGGUGAUGAAGGUCUUCGGAUCGUAAAACUCUGUUAUUAGGGAAGAACAUAUGUGUAAGUAACUGUGCAGAUCUGGACGGUACCUAUCCAGAAAGCACCGGCUAACUACGU